ACUCAAAGGAAUUGACGGGGGCUCACACAAGCGGUGGAGCAUGUGGCUUAAUUCGAGGCUACGCGAAGAACCUUAUCCUGGGCUUGACAUGUCCGCAAGGGUGUAGACGUAGGUGCCGGAAACGGUAACCCACAGGUAUCCAAUCCUGAGCUACACACAGGUGCUGCAUGGCUGUCGUCAGCUCGUGUCGUGAGAUGUCGGGUUAAGUCCCAUAACGAGCGAAACCCCUGUCUCCAGUUGCCAGCACGUCAUGGUGGGGACUCUGGAGAGACUGCCGGUGUCAAACCGGAGGAAGGUGGGGAUGACGUCAAGUCCUCAUGGCCUUUAUGCCCAGGGCUGCACACGUGCUACAAUGGCACGCACAGAGGGACGCGACUGCGCGAGCAGGAGCCGAUCCCGGAAAACGUGCCCCAGUUCAGAUCGCAGGCUGCAACUCGCCUGCGUGAAGUUGGAAUCGCUAGUAAUCGCGGGUCAGCAACACCGCGGUGAAUGUGUUCCUGAGCCUUGCACACACCGCCCGU
rnacentral:rRNA from 1 species